UCCCUGGUGGUCCAGUGGUUAGGACUCCACACUUUCACUGCCAGGGGGCCGGGUUCAAUCCUGGUUUGGGAA
rnacentral:tRNA from 1 species